AACGCACAUUGCGCUUCCUGGCAUUCCGGGGAGCAUGCCUGUUUCAGAAUCAUUAAAACCUCUCACCCACAAUUGUGUUUUUACAAAUGCCAAUUGUACGGGCGGAUUUUGAGUGUUUUCGCAGCUAUUAACUUAGUUUUGAAUCACUUUAAUUAUAUAGUGUGCAGCCAUCGCUUUCACUCAUUUUUAAAAUGUUUGGUGAAUGGUUCCCAAGUGCAAUAAAGACUAACAAUCUCUUAUAACUCUUGAGUACCGCAAAGUUCUCCAAGCGCAAAAGUUUUGAAAACUGAGAUCAAUGAAAAUGAUAGUUGUUACCCACAUUAAUUAUACGAUUUGCUUACCUUUGGGUAAUCACUUCGAAACUUUGAUCUGAAAUCAAGCAAGAAAACCCGCUGAACUUAA
rnacentral:misc_RNA from 1 species